GUUGACCUCGGAUCAGGUAGGAAUACCCGCUGAACUUAAGCAUAUCAAUAAGCGGAGGAAAA
rnacentral:rRNA from 6 species